GAUGAACGCUGGCGGCGUGCCUAAUACAUGCAAGUCGAGCGAACGGACGAGAAGCUUGCUUCUCUGAUGUUAGCGGCGGACGGGUGAGUAACACGUGGAUAACCUACCUAUAAGACUGGGAUAACUUCGGGAAACCGGAGCUAAUACCGGAUAAUAUUUUGAACCGCAUGGUUCAAAAGUGAAAGACGGUCUUGCUGUCACUUAUAGAUGGAUCCGCGCUGCAUUAGCUAGUUGGUAAGGUAACGGCUUACCAAGGCAACGAUGCAUAGCCGACCUGAGAGGGUGAUCGGCCACACUGGAGGUGAGACGCGGUCCAGACUCCUACGGGAGGCCGCAGUAGGGAAUCUUCCGCAAUGGGCGAAAGCCUGACGGAGCAACGCCGCGUGAGUGAUGAAGGUCUUCGGAUCGUGAAACUCUGUUAUUAGUGAAGAACAGAUGUGUAAGUAACUGUGCACAGCUUGACGGUACCUAAUCAGAAAGCCACGGCUAACUACGUG
rnacentral:rRNA from 1 species